rnacentral:rRNA from 1 species
GACGAACGCUGGCGGCGCGCCUAACACAUGCAAGUCGAACGAGCGAGAGAGAGCUUGCUUUCUCAAGCGAGUGGCGAACGGGUGAGUAACGCGUGAGGAACCUGCCUCAAAGAGGGGGACAACAGUUGGAAACGACUGCUAAUACCGCAUAAGCCCACGGCUCGGCAUCGAGCAGAGGGAAAAGGAGCAAUCCGCUUUGAGAUGGCCUCGCGUCCGAUUAGCUAGUUGGUGAGGUAAUGGCCCACCAAGGCGACGAUCGGUAGCCGGACUGAGAGGUUGAACGGCCACAUUGGGACUGAGACACGGCCCAGACUCCUACGGGAGGCAGCAGUGGGGAAUAUUGCACAAUGGGGGAAACCCUGAUGCAGCGACGCCGCGUGGAGGAAGAAGGUCUUCGGAUUGUAAACUCCUGUUGUUGAGGAAGAUAAUGACGGUACUCAACAAGGAAGUGACGGCUAACUACGUGCCAGCAGCCGCGGUAAAACGUAGGUCACAAGCGUUGUCCGGAAUUACUGGGUGUAAAGGGAGCGCAGGCGGGAAGACAAGUUGGAAGUGAAAUCCAUGGGCUCAACCCAUGAACUGCUUUCAAAACUGUUUUUCUUGAGUAGUGCAGAGGUAGGCGGAAUUCCCGGUGUAGCGGUGGAAUGCGUAGAUAUCGGGAGGAACACCAGUGGCGAAGGCGGCCUACUGAGCACCAACUGACGCUGAGGCUCGAAAGUGUGGGUAGCAAACAGGAUUAGAUACCCUGGUAGUCCACACUGUAAACGAUGAUUACUAGGUGUUGGAGGAUUGACCCCUUCAGUGCCGCAGUUAACACAAUAAGUAAUCCACCUGGGGAGUACGACCGCAAGGUUGAAACUCAAAGGAAUUGACGGGGGCCCGCACAAGCAGUGGAGUAUGUGGUUUAAUUCGACGCAACGCGAAGAACCUUACCAAGUCUUGACAUCCCUUGACGAUGCUGGAAACAGUAUUUCUCUUCGGAGCAAGGAGACAGGUGGUGCAUGGUUGUCGUCAGCUCGUGUCGUGAGAUGUUGGGUUAAGUCCCGCAACGAGCGCAACCCUUAUGGUCAGUUACUACGCAAGAGGACUCUGGCCAGACUGCCGUUGACAAAACGGAGGAAGGUGGGGAUGACGUCAAAUCAUCAUGCCCUUUAUGACUUGGGCUACACACGUACUACAAUGGCGUUAAACAAAGAGAAGCAAGACCGCGAGGUGGAGCAAAACUCAGAAACAACGUCCCAGUUCGGACUGCAGGCUGCAACUCGCCUGCACGAAGUCGGAAUUGCUAGUAAUCGCAGAUCAGCAUGCUGCGGUGAAUACGUUCCCGGGCCU